UACUCCAGCCUGGGUGACAGUGAGACCCUGAUAUGGACAAGAUUAGCAUGUCCUCUGCACAAGAAUGACAUGCAAACUUGUGAAGUGUUCCAUAUUUUU
ensembl:snRNA U6 U6 spliceosomal RNA